rnacentral:rRNA from 1 species
AGCGAACGCUGGCGGCAGGCUUAACACAUGCAAGUCGAGCGGGCACUUCGGUGUCAGCGGCAGACGGGUGAGUAACACGUGGGAACGUACCCUUUGGUUCGGAAUAACGCUGGGAAACUAGCGCUAAUACCGGAUACGCCCUUUUGGGGAAAGGCUUGCUGCCGAAGGAUCGGCCCGCGUCUGAUUAGCUAGUUGGUGGGGUAAUGGCCUACCAAGGCGACGAUCAGUAGCUGGUCUGAGAGGAUGAUCAGCCACACUGGGAGUGAGACACGGCCCAGACUCCUACGGGAAGCAGGAGUGGUGAAUAUUGGACAAUGGGCGCAAGCCUGAUCCAGCCAUGCCGGGUGAGUGAUGAAGGCCUUAGGGUUGUAAAGCUCUUUUGUCCGGGACGAUAAUGACGGUACCGGAAGAAUAAGCCCCGGCUAACUUCGUG